UAUAUAAAUUUUAGAAGAAGCACGACCAGUUUGAUAGUGAAACAUCAUUUAUUCUUGAAUGAAGAAUUUUUUAACACAUAACUGUUAGGCAACUAAUGUGCCUCAUAAUUUAAGAUAUGCAAUUAAAUUUUAAUUAAUGGUGAAUAGCUAGCAGAGGCUGAACAACACGCUGUCAGCAGGCAGGCGAAGAGGCAAAAGAGAGAGAGAGACUACAGAGUUAGUAGCUAUUUAUACUAGGUAGGUGCAGAAACUAUUCUAAGCUAUGACUGGUUUAUUUUAGUUUUAGUUACCUUUAUCAAGCGGUGUUAUGUAACAUGGAAAGAUCUCGAAUUUGGGAGAACAGAGGAAUUUACAGGGACAGCAUAAAAUCUAGAAUUGUUAAUUUUAAGGUCGCCAAUUAUUCUUAAAGCAGCUAUUGAAUUUUGUUAUAGCUAACGUAUCACCCCCUUCAAAAGAAAGGUUGGGAGAGCAGGGUGGCAGAAAAAGCACUUGUGAAACAAGAGAAAGUUUGUCAUAUGAGGAAAGACAUGAGGAAGAAUCAAGGACAUAGCCUGCAGGUUUUCCUAUGCCCUGCCAUUACUCAUGAUGUUUCUCAUAUACAGAUUAUGAAUUACUUAAACAACUAAUUUACAAUUAUUACAACAAAAAUAUAACUUCUAAACAAACUAAAUAAUAAAUUAACACAAAUAUAAUUUUUUUAAAGACCUCAAAUUAUUAAAAUGUCCAAUGAAAAAUUUUGUAAGGUCUCUUGAAAAUAGUUCUACAAGGUAAAUGUUUAAUAACAGUCUCAAAUUUUUCUUGAUGAAAAAUAUUUCCAUAGAUUUGCCAACUUAUCAUGUAAAAAUAUAAUACUCAAUUUAUGAUUAUUUAAAUAAAUUCUUCUUAUUGUGGAUACAAAUAUUUAAUACAAUAGAAAAUUUAAACAUAGUAAUAUAAUGCAAUACACAAUAAUACUUUGACAAUUAAUUGGCAUGUCCUCUCCGACAAAAUCAGCGUACCAUCUUGGUUGGAGGAUGCUUAAGUACAAUGUAUCAAAAAAUCCCCAUUCCUUAGAAAAAGGUAACUGAUUUUAGGCAUCCUACAAUUGUCAAAGUUUUUGUUUCAAAAAUCUUUCCUGUUAAAUUAAUCAAAUACUACAUUAUAUAGAAUUAAACUGAAAUUUAAAACAAAUAACUCAUACAAUAAAUCCUUUUAAAUUUUACAAAAAUAAAAUUGAAUAUUACUCUACAAUAAAGGAACAAUUUUGUUUUAAAAUCAUGUAUAAAGUAUGAGCUUGUGAAUUAAAAUUACAAUAAUUUUUUUUUGAAUCUCCAUAAUAAUAGUUUAGGGAAGGCAUUUUAAAAUAUAAAAAAUUUGUAUACAUCAUUCAUAAACACAACAAAUUUUAAACUUUUCACACCAUACAGCAUCAUUUAUUGAAAUUAUGCUUUUCACUAUUAUUAAGACAUUGACGAUUUACUUAUUUUUUACAAAACCCCACAACUUUCUCUAAAUACUAACAUAUCCACCAUAUUGGCACAUCCAACUGAGUGAACUGGUGUUUAAUUUUCACCAGUGACCGAAAGGGAUGCCAAAUUGGCAGUUACCGUAAAAGGGCCUCCGUUCCUUGGAUAGAGGCAACUGGCCUUUCUGAGCUGCUCUAUCAUUCAAUUAUAAAAAAUUAAAAACACACUCUAUUAUAUGAAAAAAUAUAAAUACUUGGAUUAAAAAAUGUAUUUUUUCAUAAGAUGAGAGACUUAAAGAAACAUUAAAGAAAUUCUCGAAAACAUUAAAGAAAUUCAUACAAUUUAAAAUUUUCAAACAAUAAUUUCAUUCUUAAAAUUCAAAAUAAUAUUCAAAAUUCAAAAAUAUAAAUUCAGAGACAUUUAAGCAAUAGUACAAAGAUAUUAAUCGUAUUAGGAACCUUUUCUAAGUAAAAUCUUCAAAAUUCUUUACCAAAUUUUUAUAAAAUUCAGAUAUAUGAAACUACAUUAAAAAUAAAUCAUAAAAUUUUUAAAUGAUUAACUUUCAUCUUAAAAUGAUUUAAGCAAAAUAUUACCAUCAAUAAAUCAUAAUACAAUUACUUAUAAAUGCAAAGUUAUUUUAAAACUUAAUUUACUUGAUUGAAAAAAAAUUUGCUUUGUAAAUGGAACUUAAUACUACUUCAACAUCACUUUUGAUGAUAUUCCAUUCUUUGAAUGAGAAGAGCACAAAACAUUAUUUCGUAUUUCACAUUUCAUUGAUAAGGGUUACUGAACUUAAAAGCACUUCGGAUGUUAAAUUUACUUUUACGCCAUGAUUGGAAAUGCAUAGACAUUGUGAAUAUUUGUAAAGAACAAGAACCAUAUAACCAUAUUUCUAUGUUGCAACACUGAUCUAAGGACCUUGAUACGAAAACUUUUCUUCUCUGCUUCAAAGCAGUGCACCGUGAUGCUGUACUUUAUUUUUCUCUUUUAGAUUUUUGAACUUGCAGAUACAUGAUAUCCAUUUUGAAUUUCUUUUACACAUCGAAGUUCGAACAGGUGGUUGGUUAAUGCAGACACUGCGAUGACGUUUCCAUUGGAAUUUUAACACACAGGAUAUGUAUCCUGUGAACGCUUCUGUAGUAUUGUACUUUUGGCGGAAGAUAAAAGCAAUUCACAUUCUAGUCAUGGCCCAAAAAACUGCUGCGUAGAUACGCAGCAUAGUAAAUGAUUGGAUGGAAUUUUAGAAGAAGCAUAAUCAGCUUGAUAGUUAAACAUCAUUUAUUCUUGAAUGAUGAAUUUCUUAACACAUAACUGUUAGAAGACUAGGGCUGCUAAAUGCACCUCAUAAUUUUAGAUAUGCAAUUACAUUUGAAUUAAUGGCGAAUAGCUAGCAGAGACUGGGCGACACACUGCCAGCAGGCAGGCGAAAAAGUGAAAGAGAGAGCGAGACUAAGCAGUUAAUAGCUAUUUAUACUAGAUAGGUGUGGAAAACUAUUUAUAAUAGAUUGGUGCUAAGCUAUGAUUGGUUAAUUUUAUUGUUAGUAUCCUUUUGCAAGUGGCGUUAUGUACUUUUGCAAGUGGCGUUAGAUAUCGAAUUUGGGAGAACAGAUGAAUUUACUGGGACAGCAUAAAAUCUAGAAUCGUUAAUUUUAAGGUUACCAAUUCUUAAAGCAGGUUUAUCCAUAAUCUUAAGAACCCUCAGUAAGGAGGUACGGAGUACUUACUUUAGAAGAGAUAAAGGAUGCUGAGGUGUAUAUUUUAUUAUAGGCCCAGAAAAGUGAGUUUCUAGAAGAAAUAAAUCAAUUAAAAAGAGGAAUGUUUUGUAUUAGCUGAGAAAUGCUUGGCGCCAGAGCGGAAUCUUGGCGGAAUUGGCACUGAAAUGUAUUCUGUGAGAAACUUGAUUUUGUGGUACAUUCGAAGCUGCGAUUUAUAUAUUACGCUGUAAGGGGAAACCUAGCGCCUGAAAGUCGCUAUGGAAAAUAAAUGUAUUGAAACUGUGUAA
rnacentral:lncRNA from 1 species